rnacentral:tRNA from 1 species
GUUUUAAUAGUUUAAAAUAGAACCUCGGUCUUGUAAAUCGGAAGUGAAUUAAUAAAUUCUUAAAACA